AAGCUUGUAAAGAAUUUCAGUACGAUAACUGUCAUAACAACAGAAAGCACUCUCAUAAGACCAGAUCGUCUUCCUGAUUUGUUGUGGCAUCCCCGAGGGUAAGCAGGCAUUUCAUUUCUCGGCUUUUCAUUUUAUUUGAAUGACAUCAACCUGGAAAUCACGACUGCAGUGCUCAGAACAGAAACCUCACAGUAGAACGUCGAGCUGUGUGCGUACAAAUACGAAAUGGAUUUGCCAGUGCGAUUUAUUGUCUCUGGUCUCAUUCUUCAAUCAGCAACAAAAACUUUGCAAACACGUGUGUCUCGCUGCAUAAUAUAUACAUGUGUGCGGGUGUCUGUGAUAAACUGCCUUCACUCGAGAAGACAUGGGAGUACUGGAAGGCAACUCGUGUACAAAAGUAGAUGACAAUGAAAACUGAUACACAAGGUGUGUUACACAUGAUUUUUUGUGAAUGGCAGUUAGAGAUUUUUUUUAAAGUCCAAUAACGUGUAACUCCGCAAAGGAGCGCCCUGUAUCCUUCACCCUCCCCCAUGCCGCUCCGGCGUUCAGCCCAGCCCCGCACCAUUCAUCCUAACUGUGCCAGCACAUCCCUCGCAGCGAAGGGACAGGCACAGCCACCUGGUGCACGGGGACGAUCACUGAGCCGGGCCUAAGGGUUCCACGAUCCCUGUCAGCACCCCAGUCGGCCCUAACGAGUUCCAUCUGUGCUAACAAAGCAACGACUUGCAGGUGCAGCGGGGCGGGCUGCCAGGGCACAGGUGUGCCUGGUCAGGAGCCCAGGGCAGGGCCCGCCCCUAAGCCUUUUAAACCCCUCCGGAGGCUGCUGGGAGCCACAGAGGAGCUCCUGUAGUUCCCUGUCUGUGGGGCUGGGUGACUGCUGGGCUCCCUGUCUGGGGCUGGGCUCUCCUUACUUUGUGGGUAAGUGCGGUACUUUUGCUUGGUUCCUGCUUUUUUUUGUUUGUUUCAGGAGUUGGAGCCGGGUUGCUGCUGAAUUUUCUGAGGUUGAGCCCAAUCCUGAUGCAUGUGAGUGCUGCAGGUCUUUCUGCUUGUAGCGACGGGAGUGUGAACAGGAUGAGGCUGUGUCCUUCUGUCCAGCCCUAGCGCCACUAGAGGGUGAGGGCUGCAGCAGGGCCCCUUGCAGCGAGAAUCAGUCCAAGCCUGCUAGCAGCUUUGGCAGUAGUCUGGGAUUCCCAACAGCAGAAGGACACGGAGCUGUCUGUGAAGAAGAAUGUGGGGCUGGAGCAACUCUGGUCCAGGGUGGUGUGAAGCUGUAGGAGGCCUUAUGGAUGGAGGUGAAGGAAGCUGGGUCCUCCCUUGGGAUUGAGUGUUUUGCAGCAUCGGGCUUCGGUUCCUGGCUUGAUAGCAUGUAGCAGAGGAUCUCUAGAGAGAAGGAGCUGAAGGAGCAAGAAGCAGGGGGAGUGUUGCUUUGCUGCACAAACAGCACUUCCUGGUGGGAACCGGGGAUGGCAGUGUUCCCUGGCUGUCUUCCUUUCCAGGUCCUGGUGCAGCUGAUGCUGGGAGCUGUGUUGUUUGACUGCAGCGAGUGCCUUUCCUGUGGACUUUGAAGUGACUGCUGAUGGAAUGGGCUGACCCUUGGUCUUGUGGUUCUGACCGAAGUGGAUUUGGAAUGGCUCAUGAAGAUCACUUAGUUCCAACAUCAGAGGAAUCCUCUUUCCAAAGGAAGGCCAGACCUGUCUCCUAAUGUCCAGGAGCAAGGAUUGCUUGAUGAGUAGGUGUGUACAAUUAUCUUCUGUUUGUUUUGUGCUUCUUGGGCUUUGUUGCGUUUGAAGUGCUGCUUGUGGCAAGUAAGCACUCAGCAGGGUUUGUGUCUUGUGUGAGCCAUGGGCUUUCUGUUUUUGGAAGUGAGAUGGGGCUGAGGAUGUUAUUGUUGUGGACUUUGCUUUUGGAGUAGUGUGCUAAGUAUCAUGAAAUGAGGUUGUCUCUGCUCUGUGUGUCUUGAAAUGGAUGGCUAAGUGGUUAUUGUUUGUUUCUUGUUGAGUGAAGUAAUUGCUGUGCUUGGUUUUACUAAAGUUGUAUUGAUGUUAUCGGUCUUGUGUAUGCUGUUGACUUAAGUUCUAGAGUUUGGGGCUGUCAUGCUUAGCAUUGGGUGAAGUGGUUUGUUGUUUUCCUGGGGGUGUCUUUCAGGUGAUUGGCAGAAGUGUUUGAGUUGGUAUUGUUUGAUCU